CCUACGGGAGGCAGCAGUGAGGAAUAUUGGUCAAUGGACGAGAGUCUGAACCAGCCAAGUAGCGUGAAGGAUGACUGCCCUAUGGGUUGUAAACUUCUUUUAUAUGGGAAUAAAAUGUUCCACGUGUGGGAUUUUGUAUGUACCAUAUGAAUAAGGAUCGGCUAACUCCGUGCCAGCAGCCGCGGUACUACGGAGGGUCCGAGCGUUAUCCGGAUUUAUUGGGUUUAAAGGGAGCGUAGGUGGAUUGUUAAGUCAGUUGUGAAAGUUUGCGGCUCAACCGUAAAAUUGCAGUUGAAACUGGCAGUCUUGAGUACAGUAGAGGUGGGCGGAAUUCGUGGUGUAGCGGUGAAAUGCUUAGAUAGCACGAAGAACUCCGAUUGCGAAGGCAGUUCACUGGACUGCAACUGACACUGAGGCUCGAAAGUGUGGGUAUCAAACAGGAUUAGAUACCCUGGUAGUC
rnacentral:rRNA from 1 species